rnacentral:rRNA from 1 species
CCUACGGGUGGCAGCAGUGAGGAAUAUUGGUCAAUGGGCGCGAGCCUGAACCAGCCAAGUAGCGUGAAGGAUGACUGCCCUACGGGUUGUAAACUUCUUUUAUAAAGGAAUAAAGUGAGGCACGUGUGCCUUUUUGUAUGUACUUUAUGAAUAAGGAUCGGCUAACUCCGUGCCAGCAGCCGCGGUAAUACGGAGGGUGCAAGCGUUGUCCGGAAUCAUUGGGGGUAAAGAGGUCGUAGGCGGCAUGUAAAGUCAGGUGUUAAAGGCGCAGGCUCAACCUGUGUAUGGCACUUGAUACUUGCAAGCUGGAAUGCGGUAGAGGUGAAGGGAAGUCCUGGUGUAGCGGUGAAAUGCUUAGAUAUCAGGAGGAACAUCGGUGGCGUAAGCGCUUUACUGGGCCGUAAUUGACGCUGAGGAACGAAAGCCAGGGUAGCAAAUGGGAUUAGAUACCCGGGUAGUC